rnacentral:rRNA from 1 species
GAUGAACGCUGGCGGCGUGCCUAAUACAUGCAAGUCGAGCGAACAGAUAAGGAGCUUGCUCCUUUGACGUUAGCGGCGGACGGGUGAGUAACACGUGGGUAACCUACCUAUAAGACUGGGAUAACUUCGGGAAACCGGAGCUAAUACCGGAUAAUAUUUCGAACCGCAUGGUUCGAUAGUGAAAGAUGGUUUUGCUAUCACUUAUAGAUGGACCCGCGCCGUAUUAGCUAGUUGGUAAGGUAACGGCUUACCAAGGCGACGAUACGUAGCCGACCUGAGAGGGUGAACGGCCACACUGGAACUGAGACACGGUCCAGACUCCUACGGGAGGCAGCAGUAGGGAAUCUUCCGAAAUGGGCGGAAGCUUGACGGAGCAACGCCGCGUGAGUGAUGAAGGUCUUCGGAUCGUAAAACUCUGUUAGUAUGGAAGAACAUACGUGUAAGUAACUGUGCACGUCUUGACGGUACCUAAUCAGAAAGCCACGGCUAACUACGUG